rnacentral:rRNA from 1 species
AUUGAACGCUGGCGGCAGGCCUAACACAUGCAAGUCGAACGAGUGGCGGACGGGUGAGUAAUGUCUGGGAAAAUGCUUGAUGGAGGGGGAUAACUACUGGAAACGGUAGGUAAUACCGCAUCCCAUCGGAUGUGCCAAGAUGGGAUGAUCUAGUAGGUGGGGUAAAGGCUCACCUAGGCGACGAUCCCUAGCUGCUAUGAGAGGAUGACAGGACACACUGGCACUUAGACACUGUCCAGACUCCUCCGGUAGGCAGGAGGGGGGAAGAUUGCACAAUGGGCGCAAGCCUGAUGCAGCCAUCCCGCGUGUAUGAAGAAGGCAUUCGGGUUGUAAAGUACUUUCAGCGGGGAGGCGUUACCCGCAGAAGAAGCACCGGCUAACUCCGUGCCAGCAGCCGCGGUAAUAC